rnacentral:lncRNA from 1 species
CGACCAACUAAAGCUGAGGAGCGGGGUGGAUGAAAACGACGUGCAAGACGCAAUAACGACGAGGAGUCAGGUACAACACGACGUGUCGUUGGCGAGGGAGAACGAGGAGUUGAGAACAGAGUUGCUGAAGAUGAAGAUGUACAUUACGGACCUGCAUAAGACUGGGCCUGCGGCUGUUGCGACGACGUCGUCUUGUAAAGGAGGUGGCGGGCCCAAAAAGGCGAAAUUUUUCUCGUAUGUAUCGAAGAAAUUGGGGAGGUUAAAUCCCUUCAAGCAAGGGUCGAAGGACACUUCGAACAUCGUGGAUGAGGAUGUGGAUAUUACCAAGCCUAGAAGACGAAGGUUUUCCAUCUCUUAAUUAAUUAAGUCAUUGCACUUUGUGUGGGUGUUAAUUCUUGUUUAUUUUUUUUCCC